CUAUGUGUUGUUGGGUAGGGGAGCGUUCUGUAAGCCUGUGAAGGUGGCCUGUGAGGGUUGCUGGAGGUAUCAGAAGUGCGAAUGCUGACAUAAGUAACGAUAAAGCGGGUGAAAAGCCCGCUCGCCGGAAGACCAAGGGUUCCUGUCCAACGUUAAUCGGGGCAGGGUGAGUCGACCCCUAAGGCGAGGCCGAAAGGCGUAGUCGAUGGGAAACGGGUUAAUAUUCCCGUACUUGGUGUUACUGCGAAGGGGGGACGGAGAAGGCUAUGUUGGCCGGGCGACGGUUGUCCCGGUUUAAGCGUGUAGGUGUGUGUUCCAGGUAAAUCCGGUUCACUUUAACACUGAGGCGUGAUGACGAGGCACUACGGUGCUGAAGCAACAAAUGCCCUGCUUCCAGGAAAAGCCUCUAAGCAUCAGGUAACAUCAAAUCGUACCCCAAACCGACACAGGUGGUCAGGUAGAGAAUACCAAGGCGCUUGAGAGAACUCGGGUGAAGGAACUAGGCAAAAUGGUGCCGUAACUUCGGGAGAAGGCACGCUGACAUGUAGGUGAAGUGAUUUACUCAUGGAGCUGAAGUCAGUCGAAGAUACCAGCUGGCUGCAACUGUUUAUUAAAAACACAGCACUGUGCAAACACGAAAGUGGACGUAUACGGUGUGACGCCUGCCCGGUGCCGGAAGGUUAAUUGAUGGGGUCAGCGCAAGCGAAGCUCCUGAUCGAAGCCCCGGUAAACGGCGGCCGUAACUAUAACGGUCCUAAGGUAGCGAAAUUCCUUGUCGGGUAAGUUCCGACCUGCACGAAUGGCGUAAUGAUGGCCAGGCUGUCUCCACCCGAGACUCAGUGAAAUUGAACUCGCUGUGAAGAUGCAGUGUACCCGCGGCAAGACGGAAAGACCCCGUGAACCUUUACUAUAGCUUGACACUGAACAUUGAGCCUUGAUGUGUAGGAUAGGUGGGAGGCUUUGAAGUGUGGACGCCAGUCUGCAUGGAGCCGACCUUGAAAUACCACCCUUUAAUGUUUGAUGUUCUAACGUGGACCCGUAAUCCGGGUUGCGGACAGUGUCUGGUGGGUAGUUUGACUGGGGCGGUCUCCUCCUAAAGAGUAACGGAGGAGCACGAAGGUUGGCUAAUCCUGGUCGGACAUCAGGAGGUUAGUGCAAUGGCAUAAGCCAGCUUGACUGCGAGCGUGACGGCGCGAGCAGGUGCGAAAGCAGGUCAUAGUGAUCCGGUGGUUCUGAAUGGAAGGGCCAUCGCUCAACGGAUAAAAGGUACUCCGGGGAUAACAGGCUGAUACCGCCCAAGAGUUCAUAUCGACGGCGGUGUUUGGCACCUCGAUGUCGGCUCAUCACAUCCUGGGGCUGAAGUAGGUCCCAAGGGUAUGGCUGUUCGCCAUUUAAAGUGGUACGCGAGCUGGGUUUAGAACGUCGUGAGACAGUUCGGUCCCUAUCUGCCGUGGGCGCUGGAGAACUGAGGGGGGCUGCUCCUAGUACGAGAGGACCGGAGUGGACGCAUCACUGGUGUUCGGGUUGUCAUGCCAAUGGCACUGCCCGGUAGCUAAAUGCGGAAGAGAUAAGUGCUGAAAGCAUCUAAGCACGAAACUUGCCCCGA
rnacentral:rRNA from 1 species